CCCUGGUCUCUGGCGUUCUGGAAUUACAGGUGGACCACACACCUACCCAGCAAGCUGUGAAUCUGGAUUCUGGUCCUGGUGUUUUGUUCAGGCUGAGAAGUCUCCCUGACAUUUAUUGUUUUGAUUUAUUUUGCUUGAGACAGGAUCUCUGCGCAGCCCCAGCUGUCCCGGAACUCACUCUGAAGACCAAGAUGACCUUGAGCUCACAGAAGUCUGCCUUCCUCUGCCAGCCUCUGCGCCCUGCUCUUCCGUUUUCUUCUCACAUAGACUAAUUACUAGACUUUUUCGUUGAGUGGAAAAACAGUGGAACAAUAGCUUAAGAAAUAAGGUGCAUGCAUGUCAUAGCGAGUGAGCAUGUGGCAAGCACAGGACAACUUGUGGGAGCUGGCUCUCUCCUCCCACUGUGGAUUCAUGAAACAAAG